AUGCAAGUCGAACGCAGUAGCAAUACUGAGUGGCAGACGGGUGAGUAACAUGUGGGAAUCUGCCUUGUGGUUCAGGACAACAUUGGGAAACCGAUGCUAAUACUGGAUAAGCCCUUACGGGGAAAGUUUUAAUGCCAUAAGAUGAGCCCGCAUUUGAUUAGUUAGUUGGUGAGGUAAUGGCUCACCAAGACAAUGAUCAAUAGCUGAUCUGAGAGGAUGAUCAGCCACACUGGGACUGAGACACGGCCCAGACUCCUACGGGAGGCAGCAGUGGGGAAUCUUGCACAAUGGAGGAAACUCUGAUGCAGCGAUGCCGCGUGAGUGAAGAAGGCCUUUGGGUUGUAAAGCUCUUUUGUAGGGGAAGAUAAUGACUGUACCCUAAGAAUAAGGUCCGGCUAACUUCGUGCCAGCAGCCGCGGUAAUACGAAGGGACCUAGCGUAGUUCGGAAUUACUGGGCGUAAAGCGCGCGUAGGCCGUUGAGUUAGUUAAUUGUGAAAUCCCAAAGCUUAACUUUGGAACUGCAAUUAAAACUGCUCGACUAGAGUUUGAUAGAGGAAAGCGGAAUACAUAGUGUAGAGGUGAAAUUCGUAGAUAUUAUGUAGAACACCAGUUGCGAAGGCGGCUUUCUGGAUCAACACUGACGCUGAGGCGCGAAAGUAUGGGUAGCAAAGAGGAUUAGAUACCCUCGUAGUCCAUACCAUAAACGAUGAUUGCUAGAUGUUGGAAAUUUAUUUUCAGUAUCGCAGCUAACGCAUUAAGCAAUCCGCCUGGGGAGUACGACCGCAAGGUUAAAACUCAAAUGAAUUGACGGGGACCCGCACAAGCGGUGGAGCAUGUGGUUUAAUUCGAAGAUACGCGCAGAACCUUACCAACCCUUGACAUGUCUGUCGCGAGUUUA
rnacentral:rRNA from 1 species